rnacentral:SRP_RNA from 1 species
CGGGAAAGUCUUGUACGACCAGCUCCCUCUGAACUCCCCCAGGACGGGAACGUAGCAAGGGUAGGAGGUCGUAGCGGUGCGAUACAAGGAGCUUUCCCU